rnacentral:rRNA from 1 species
CCUACGGGCGGCAGCAGUAGGGAAUUUUCCACAAUGGGCUAAAGCCUGAUGGCGCAACGCCGCGUGGGUGAAGACGGUCUUCGGAUCGUAAAACCCUGUUGUUAGAGAAGAAAGUGCGUGAGAGUAACUGUUCACGUUUCGACGGUAUCUAACCUGAAAGACACGGCUAACUACGUGCCAGGAGCCGCGGUAAUACGUAGGUGGCCAGCGUUAUCCGGAUUUAUUGGGGGUAAAGGACACGCAGGCGGUCUUAUAAGUCUGAUGUGAAAGGCUUCGGCUUAACCGGAGUAGUGCAUUGGAAACGGGGAGACUUGAGUGUAGGAGAGGAGAGUGGAACUCCAUGUGUAGCGGUGAAAUGCGUAGAUAUAUGGAAGAACACCAGUGGCGAAGGCGGCUCUCUGGUCUGUAACUGACGCUGAGGUUCGAAAGCGUGGGUAGCAAACAGGAUUAGAUACCCUGGUAGUC